UUUUUGCGCCUUGGCUUGCUCGGGAGCGCGCCUUGUGCCUAGGCUCCAAGACACCUUAGCGCCUUGGUGCGCCUUGAGCUUUUGAUAACUAUGCAUGGUAUAUUGAGAAAGUAUUUAUAAAACUCUAUGCAUAAAAGAAAAAUUUAAGAAAGAUUUUCCUCGGUUGAAAGAUUUACAAGAACAUCCAUAAGAAAGGAGUUAAGAAAUGUCAACAAAGAUUAUCUGGACCAAAAUUGCACAGCCUAAUAGACAAUCAAACAGCAUUCAUCAAAUAGUUGACAAUGUCCAACAGGCAAAACCAUCAUUAAAUCAUUUCCUUCAAUUUACAUGUAAUGUAUCGACCCUGUGACUUCUACAAGAUGAGCUAGAAUAUAAGAGCAUCAAAGAUGCACCAACUUAAUGAAAAUAUCAGCACAUGGUUUUAUUUUCCCUUCUGUAAUUUGUGAUCUAUUUGUGAAGAAUGCCCAUGAAAAUUGUUGAAAUCAGGAUAGUUCCAUCCCAAAAAACAGAAUAAUGCAUAUUAAUAAAACAAGUAAUAAUUGCAAGAUCAGUUUGGCACCUGUACAAUUUUAUUAACUAUCAAAGAAGUUAGGCAAUUAGAUGAAGAAGUCAUUGAGACAGUUAAAAUCAUCUUUCACAUUGACAGAGAUAAACAAACGUUACAAGUAAAAAUGACAACAGUAAAAGGAUCUAACAAAUGUUAUAAACUUGUCACAAACAAACAAUCUCCAAAAGUGUCAUGAACGAUUCUCCUUCACUACACUCCUUUAUAAUAAGCAUACAGCAAAACUACAAGAACUUGUCCCAUUCAUCAUAGUUGUCCAUUCAUCAUAGUUGUUCAACCCAUAAAAACUAUGCAGAGUGUUAGCAGGCCUUUGAAGUUCUACAAGAGAUUCACUCAUGGGCGAAAGAGGAGGAUGCAAAGAGACCAAGUCCAAGCCAAUUCAGACAGUUGAGAUUUUUGUUGCCAUGUUCUUAGUGCUGCUGCUAUCAUUUCCUUAGUGCUGCUGCCAAGUUCUUAGUUAUUAAUUUGCGAUGUAAAUAGUGGAUUUUCAAUUAUUGUUUUAAUCUUCAUUCCCUUAGUUGUAGGAGGGUAAUCCUCCAUGUUGUUUACUAUUCCUUGUUUUUAGGAGAUGGUUAUCUCUCCCUUUGUAUUUAAGUGCAGCACAUUAAUAAAAGAAGUAUCAGAAAAUUCCAAAAGUUUUUUAUGGAGGAGGGCCAUUAGAAUCAAAGACCACCAUCUUCACACUCGUCCUAUCAAACCUUCAGCUUUGAUACCACUUGUUGAGAUUCGGGAACCAAAACACCUAGGAAGAAUUCCUUUUUACGGGGCCUUAUGAGAGCACAGCAGCACACACUCAUGCGCCUGAAACUAUAUUUAACCUAAAACUUUAAAGUAAUAGAUUUAUGGGUCCUUCCAAUUUAUAUGUCAUUCACUCAUCCAAUCUCUUUCUUAUGUGGAAUUCACACCUGAAUUUUCCCUAGUUGUCUCAAGCUACAAUAGUGGUCCACUUGGAUAAAAGUUUGCCACAUGUUGAUGGGAACUAAGGGUCGUUGAUCAUUCCUAUUUGGAAAAGGCACCUGAAAAGAAGGAAAAUGGGCCGAUGUCAAGGGGCACCAAAGGGAAAUUUGGAAAAGGAAAGUUGUAAUGCUGAAAUUGAUAUGCAUCAAAGGAACCAAGUUCUAUAAGGGGUUUAACAAAGGGGGGUAUGAAGGCCAAUUUUGCAUUGCAAAGAGGGUUGGAACUUACCUAUAAGAUUGAACUACCAUCACAGUUGAAGCUCCAUCCAAUGUUCCUUGUGAGCUUGCUCAAUCCAUUUAGGAAGAAAAAAGGAUAAUUCUAGCCAAGGGUAAUCUAAGAGGCAUUAAUGGGAAUGAGUUUAAUAUAAUAAAGAUUGGAAGGUUAUCAGACACAUAACUCCAACCAAACAAUAUAGAACAUUAUAGGGAUUGAGUCCAACUUUUAUAGGAUAAGAUAGCCCUAUAGCCUGCAAAACAAUAUUACAAAACACUUAUUUAGUUAUUAUGUCAAAAUAUGAUUUUAAGUUUUAUUUAAAUCUAGCAAAAGUGACUUUAUUGAAACAUAAAUUAAAGUUGAAUGAUUUUGUUGAUAAUCAUCAAAGUUUAGAGAUAGUGUUGAAAUUGACGAUGAGUACAAUAACCAUAGAUGACAAUAACCCCCUCUUCUAUUCUUUCUUCCAAAAGAAAUGUUUCAAUAAAUGGCUUGGCAAAGAAGCAAAAGAGGGCUAGGACAAGACAUCACUAACUAGAUGAAUACCUAUUGGGAUCUUCAUCCCACAUGGCCCCCUAGAACUAACACUUAUUUUGUUACCUUUUUCCAAAAAUGAGGGACAUAAUUAGGAUAGGUACAUCAAUAUGUUUUCACAUCAGCUAGCAUUAUCCGCAAACUUAAUGGCUUGGAUCCAAUUUAUUUUGCCAUGCUUAAGCACUACUUCUAAGAACUUUCUCAAUGGAAAAGGCUCAACUCUUUGUUUCAUGAGAUCUGCCAAGUUAACCCUUUGUCACUAUAGAAUGAUGAUGAAGUAAUUGAUUAGAUGCUUUGCUACUUGCUAGAAAGAUUGACCUACCAACAUGCCUAGCAGCUGAAUUUUGGGGCUUAAGGGAUGGUCUUAACCUGCCAUAUUAUUGGGCAUAACUUAAUUACCUGUUAAACUAGAUGCCCAAGCAGCAGUAUUGCAAAUUCCAGCUUUUAUUCAUAUUGCAGGUCACUAAUGGGAACAACUUUUGUUAUUGCUGCCUAAUCUUGCAGUCCCAUAGGAAGACAAAUUUCAGUGCACAUAUUUUGGCUAGGACAUCACUAGCAAGAAGAUUUUGUUUUCUAUCAUCAGCUUCAACCUGAUGCAUAGGGUUCAAUGAAUAGCUUCCUAUGUUCAAAAAUUUCUAACUAAAUUAAGCUCCCUCUUAAGGAAAAAAAAAAUAAAGAAAGAAGAGUGAUAUAAGUCGUUUUGAAAUUAAGAAAGAAGAGGGUUGUAGGUUGUUUCGAAUUACUAAUAUACAUGUACUCUUUUCAUCUUGAGCAGCAUAGUUUUUGUCCAAUGAGGGUAGAGCCUGUUUUAAUUGGCAGACCUUGCAAGACAACCAUGAUAACACCUUUGAAUCAUCAAGGCGGAAAAACUUUGAAGAGCCAAUUUCUUUGACCUCGCACACUAUUUGCAUACAAUUCUCUGCAAUGGACAUUAAAUGAUGAUAUCCAGGACAGCCAUUAAUGAAGAUUAUCUCAUCUAAUUGUCUGAACUUCCCAGGAUCAUCCCCUUUCUUCAUUCUAGCUUCCUCAAAAAUAGGCAACAAAAUGAAGACCGGAUCAACUGGAGUGGCAGAAUAUAGGCACCCAUCUUCACAAACAUAAUCCCCCAGAAACCAAGAGGUGUAACAUUGCUUGAACCAGUGAAGUUCUUGGAGCACUCCAUUGAUAAGAAGAUAGCAUGUUGUCUUUCCUGAUUUUGGAUGUUGAAGUGGUAAUAAAUGACCUAAACCAUCUUCAAUUGCACCUUUAUAAGGCGAGAGGAUUAGUUUAGUUUAAUAGAAAAGCAAUAUGAAGGCAAAAAAAGGGCAAAACCAGGACUUUACUAGGUGCAAUGAGAAGACGAGUUUCAUUAGUGCCUUCCCACCAAGCCAUUUCAACCUUAUGCCACUGGAGCUUGAAGAAGACAGGACCUGGAUUUAGAUGAAUUUGAAUUUGAGAUGAUGAAUCUAUGUUGUUUUCGUGAAGAAUGGAUGGAACCAAGACAAAGAACAACAGACUCUUGAGUGAGAAAUGAAAUUUGGGUAAAACCGCGAGGAUUAGCAGUAAGAAUCAGUGGAGGACAGUGAGAAAUAGGAGCUCAACUCCCAAAACCUGCUUUUUAG
rnacentral:misc_RNA from 1 species